UACGAAGGGGGCUAGCGUUACUCGGAAUUACUGGGCGUAAAGGGCGCGUAGGCGGCGCUCCAAGUUAGGCGUGAAAGUCCUGGGCUCAACCUGGGAACUGCGCUUAAGACUGGAGUGCUUGAGGAUGGAAGAGGGUCGUGGAAUUCCCAGUGUAGAGGUGAAAUUCGUAGAUAUUGGGAAGAACACCGGUGGCGAAGGCGGCGACCUGGUCCAUUACUGACGCUGAGGCGCGACAGCGUGGGGCAGCAAACAGG
rnacentral:rRNA from 1 species